GUUAUCAUCAUCAUCAUCAUCAGACUGGAGGUAUAAACCAUAAACUUUUCUAAGUGAUUUUUCUAUAAUGAUUCAAUUUCUAUUCACAACAAUCCAUGAGGUAGUUACCAGUAACCCUGUUUUACAGACAAGGAAACUGAGGCCCCGAGAGAUUCAGGGACUUACCCGACAUCACUGGACCUCAGAAGUGGCAGAGCCAGGACCUCAGCCCGGCGACGUGGCUUCAGAGCCCAAGCACAUCACCGCUGUGGUAUACUGCCUCUGCUCAAAACCCGUUUCCAUAAUCUCUCCUGGGGAGUUCAAGGUGUUUUCCCAUCACUUGACUCAGUCUUGUGCUUCAGGAUCUGCACACAAAAUCAUUCCGUUGGGAAACUGUUGCUGGAGCAGAAAGGUUCUGAGCAGCUGACGUGGCAGUACAGUUUACAGUGUCUGCCAGUUGUGAGUAACAGCAGGCUGUCAUCAUGGGAUGGAGCAGAAGCAGCAGCAGCAACUCCCGAUUUAGGGGCAAAAGAUGUAAGUAUUUAUUUUCACUAUUAACCAAUUAACUCAUACUGAACUCAACUUGAAGAAUGCUAAGAGGGUAUACAAUUCUCACUCAAGACACUUCUAGCAGAUUCAUUUGAGAAGCAAUUGGUCUCAACCAGAGCAGAAAGUUAUCAAACCAGCACAUGGUUUACAGCAAAACGAAGAACCUCACAGGGUCUUGUUUGAAAAACUUCAGCUGUGGCUAAUGCUGCUUUCAAACCCUAACUCCUCGAAGUACCUGCAUACUCUGGCAGAGGCUGUCCCCUGUGGGAUGGAAGGCAUUGCUAAUAUGCAAAAGGACAUGUGAUUUCAACAUAAUUUUUUUAGGCAGGUUUGAUUAUGGGAAGACAAAAGGAGGCUUAGCAGUUACAGUGUUUGUGGGAGAGGAGAGAGCCUGUUAAAUAUUUUAAGGUGGAUUCAAGCUGGUUAGAGUUGACUUAGAGGCAACAGUGGAAACUUCUAUUCUCGAGCGAUAAAGAUAACUAGGGGUGUGGUGCCUGCCAACCCAAUGACAAAUGAAACCCUGGUGUGGAUCUUUAGCUUGAGCUGCUGUUCCU
rnacentral:lncRNA from 1 species